ACAAGCUUAUAGUAUCAGUAAGGAACUGUAUUAUACGUUAUGUACGUCAAUGUCAUGUUUUUUAUUUAUUAUUUUUUAUUAUAGUAUUGUAACAGUUUUGGGUCACAGAUGCAUUGCUUGUCAAGAUUCAAGAUCCCAUGAAAUCCACCUGCUCUUUAUUUUUGGCAAAAGAUGUGGGAACAGAACAAUCCUAACAACAUGAUGGAGAAUAGAAUUAAGACAAAAUGCUAAGAGAAUUCAAAGCAUGUCCAAUUUGAAAAAUGCUGUUAACUAUACUCAUAAUCAAGAAACAGUUUGUUCCAUAGACAUUAUCAUAUAAAGGCUGUGUUAAGAUUAAUAUGCACUAAUGCAAUGAUAAGUCGUAUGUGAUGUAAAUGUACAUGUAUUUGAGUUAAUGGAUUACUGAGUAAUUGUAAUGGUAGUUGUCACAGGCCUAUGUCACUGAGUCCCUGACUGUACAUGAAUGUACAAUGUAUUCUCAGAUAAAUUCAUUAACAAUGACAUUGCCUUCUGAGCACAGAUGGCAAUGCAGUUACCAUUGCCAUUACUAUUACUUUUGUAAUAACAAUUUAGUGCUGUACACCUUCCUCUUAUUCCUCUUUUUGUUUCUCUAUCUCUUUAGUGUCACCAUUUUCUUGAUGCAUCAAGCUUAGGAGAUACUGAGGUUAUCAAUGAGUCUUGCAUUCAAGUGAGGUCAAUUAUACAUUUU